rnacentral:miRNA from 1 species
AUUUGAGUCAUGUCGUUAAG